ensembl:snRNA U4 U4 spliceosomal RNA
AGCUUUGCGCAGUGGCAGUAUCAUAGCCAAUGAGGUUUAUCCGAGGCGUGAUUAUUACUCAUUGAAAACUUUUCCCCAAAUUAUUUUUUAGAGAGAUUUUUGCUACAAUGCACAUG